rnacentral:tRNA from 1 species
GGGCGGUUAGCUCAGUUGGCUAGAGCGCAUACUUGACGUGUAUGAGGUCACUGGUUCGAGCCCAGUACCGCCCACCA